rnacentral:rRNA from 1 species
UACGUAGGGUGCAAGCGUUAAUCGGAAUUACUGGGCGUAAAGCGUGCGCAGGCGGUGAUGUAAGACAGGUGUGAAAUCCCCGGGCUUAACCUGGGAACUGCAUUUGUGACUGCAUCGCUGGAGUGCGGCAGAGGGGGAUGGAAUUCCGCGUGUAGCGGUGAAAUGCGUAGAUAUCUGGAGGAACACCGGUGGCGAAGGCGGCGUCCUGGACCAACACUGACACUGAGGAGCGAAAGCCAGGGGAGCAAACGGG